rnacentral:rRNA from 1 species
GAUGAACGCUGGCGGCGUGCCUAAUACAUGCAAGUCGAGCGAACGGACGAGAAGCUUGCUUCUCUGAUGUUAGCGGCGGACGGGUGAGUAACACGUGGAUAACCUACCUAUAAGACUGGGAUAACUUCGGGAAACCGGAGCUAAUACCGGAUGAUAUUUUGAACCGCAUGGUUCAAAAGUGAAAGACGGUCUUGCUGUCACUUAUCGAUGGAUCCGCGCUGCAUUAGCUAGUUGGUAAGGUAACGGCUUACCAAGGCAACGAUGCAUAGCCGACCUGAGAGGGUGAUCGGCCACAGUGGAACUGAGACACGGACCAGACUACUACGGGAGGCAGCAGUAGGGAAUCUUCCGCAAUGGGCGAAAGCCUGACGGAGCAACGCCGCGUGAGUGAUGAAGGUCUUCGGAUCGUAAAACUCUGUUAUUAGGGAAGAACAUAUGUGUAAGUAACUGUGCACAUAUUGACGGUAACUAAUCAGAAAGCCACGGCUAACUACGUG